AAAGGAAUAGACGGGGGCCCGCACAAGCGGUGGAGCAUGUUGCUUAAUUCGAGGCAACGCGAAGAACCUUACCCGGGUUUGACAUGUUUAGGCUCGGCUGUGAAAGCAGCCUUUCCUUCGGGACCUUUACACAGAUGCUGCAUGGCUGUCGUCAGCUCGUGCCGUGAGGUGUUCGGUUAAGUCCGGCAACGAGCGCAACCCGUACUGUCAGUUACCAUCAGGUAAUGCUGGGGACUUUGGCAGGACUGCCCGUGUCAAGCGGGAGGAAGGCGCGGAUGACGUCAAGUCCGUAUGGCUCUUACACCCGGGGCUGCAAACGUGCUACAAUGGCUGGUACAAUGGGAUGCGCACCUGCGAAGGUUAGCCAAUCUUGAAAGCCAGCCUCAGUUCGGAUCGCAGUCUGCAACUCGACUGCGUGAAGUCGGAAUCGCUAGUAAAGGGAUAUCAGCAACGGUCCCUUGAAUACGUUCCCGGGCCUUGUACACACCGCCCGU
rnacentral:rRNA from 1 species